rnacentral:rRNA from 1 species
CCUACGGGUGGCAGCAGUGAGGAAUAUUGGUCAAUGGACGCAAGUCUGAACCAGCCAUGCCGCGUGCAGGAAGACGGCUCUAUGAGUUGUAAACUGCUUUUGUACGAGGGUAAACGCAGAUACGCGUAUCUGUCUGAAAGUAUCGUACGAAUAAGGAUCGGCUAACUCCGUGCCAGCAGCCGCGGUAAUACGGAGGAUUCAAGCGUUAUCCGGAUUUAUUGGGUUUAAAGGGUGCGUAGGCGGUCGGAUAAGUUAGAGGUGAAAUCCCGAGGCUCAACUUCGGAAUUGCCUCUGAUACUGUUCGGCGAGAGAGUAGUUGCGGUAGGCGGAAUGUAUGGUGUAGCGGUGAAAUGCUUAGAGAUCAUACAGAACACCGAUUGCGAAGGCAGCUUACCAAGCUACUUCUGACGUUGAGGCACGAAAGCGUGGGGAGCAAACAGGAUUAGAUACCCGAAUAGUC